rnacentral:lncRNA from 1 species
UGUCACCCGCUGCCACCCUGCCUUGUCUUGCUGCCACUGCAAUGUCGCUCCCCUGCCACCCUGUCCUGUCCGUCUGUCCAAUGUCACCCCAAUGUCACCUUAUCUUGUGCCACUGUCACCCAGUGUCACCCUAUCUUGUGCUGCUGUCACUCUGCUGUCCAGCCAGCGUCACUCUGUCUUGUCCUGCUGUCACCCCAAUGUCACCUCAUCCUGUCCUGCCAUUACCCUGCUGUCACCCAAUGUCACCCUACCCUGUCCCGCUGUCACCCAGCGUCACCCUGUUGUCACCCAGUGUCACCUGACCCUAUUCCACUGUCACCCAGUGUCACCCUGCUUGUCACCCUGUUGUCACCCUGCUGUCACCCUACCCUGUCCCUCUGUCACCCAGUGUCACCCCGCUGUCAUUCAGUGUCACCCAACCCUGUCCUGCCGUCACCCCAGUGUCACCCUGUUGUCACCCAGUGUCACCCUACCCCGUCCUGCUCUCACCCUGCUGUCACCCAGCGACACCCUGCCCAGUUAUCACUCCGGUGUCACUCUGCCCCGUCCCGCUGUCACCCCACUGUCACCCCAAUGUCACCCAGCGUCACCGCGCCCCGUCCCGCUGUCACUCACGGGUCCAGGUCAAAGGUCACGCGCUGGUUGGUGGCCACGCGCCGCUCCACCGCCAGCAGCACCGCGUCCGGGCGCCGCAGGUCCCAGCACAGGAUGUGCCGCGCCUGGGGAGGGGGGCGGGGCCUCGUCAAGCCACGCCCACGCACCAGGCCACGCCCCCCACGUCAGAGAGCCCCGCCCCUUGAGCCGUAGCCACGCCCACACUCGGGCCACACCCCCCACCGCCGCCAAUCAUAUCAAUUAGCCACGCCCCCUAUUAGCCGCACCCCGUAUUCCAUAACCACGCCCACUCUUCAGGCCACGCCCCGCUGCCCUUUAGCCCCGCCCACCGUCCGGCCAUGCCCCCAUCGCCCAAUCCCCGCCCAACUGCCACUCAUGUUCCUUAGCCCCGCCCACCCCCAGGCCACGCCCCGCAAGUGUCAAUCAUGUUCCAUACCCUGUGCUUUCUCUAGGCCACACCCCUUACAUCUUAACCACGCCCACUUUCUGGCCACACCCCCUCCCAGCUGUCACUCACCAUGCCCCUCACCCACCCACACCGAUUCACUUUAGCCCCGCCCACCCUCAGGCCACGCCCCCUUUGCCCGUAGCCCCGCCCCACCCCACUGUCACUCAUACCCAUUAGCCCCGCCCACUUUCAAC